AGUAGCGGCGAGUGAAGCGGCAACAGCUCACAUUUGAAAUCCGGUUGUAAUUAAGAGUCUGAGUUGUAAUCUGCAGAGGGAGUUUCGGGUAAAGUCUGGUUUAAGUUCCUUGGAACAGGACGUCAUAGAGGGUGAGAACCCCGUCAGUGACCAAUCACCAACCCAUGUGAAACCCCUUCGACGAGUCGAGUUGUUUGGGAAUGCAGCUCCAAAUGGGUGGUAAAUUUCAUCUAAAGCUAAAUAUUGGCCGGAGACCGAUAGCGCACAAGUAGAGUGAUCGAAAGAUGAAAAGCACUUUGGAAAGAGAGUUAAAUAGUACGUGAAAUUGUUGAAAGGGAAGCGCUUGUGACCAGACCUGUGCAUAGGUGAUCAGUUGGUAAAUUUUUUUUUUUUAACCAAUGUACUCAUCUAAAGCCAGGCCAGCAUCGGUUUUGGCGGCGGGACAAAAGCGUGGAGAAUGUAACUCUCUCUUGGGUGAGUACUUAUAGCUCGUCAUGAAAUGCCGCCAGCCGAAACCGAGGACCGCGCUUUGGCUAGGAUGCUGGCGUAAUGGUUGCAAGCGACCCGUCUUGAAACACGGACCAAGGAGUCUAACAUCUAUGCAAGUGUUUGGGUGUAAAACCCAGGCGCGGAAUGAAAGUGAAUGGAGGUGGGAACCCUUAAAGGGGGUGCACCAUCGACCGAUCCUGAUGUUUUCGGAUGGAUUUGAGUAUGAGCAUAGCUGUUGGGACCCGAAAGAUGGUGAACUAUGCCUGAACAGGGUGAAGCCAGAGGAAACUCUGGUGGAAGCUCGCAGCGGU
rnacentral:rRNA from 1 species